CCUACGGGUGGCUGCAGUGGGGAAUAUUGGGCAAUGGGCGCAAGCCUGACCCAGCAACGCCGCGUGAAGGAAGAAGGCUUUCGGGUUGUAAACUUCUUUUGUCAUGGACGAAACAAGUGACGGUACCUGACGAAUAAGCCACGGCUAACUACGUGCCAGCAGCCGCGGUAUGACGGAGGUGGCGAGCGUUCGCCGGAUGUGCUGGGGUUAAAGGGCGUGUAGGGGGAGAUGUAAGUCAGGUGUGAAAACCACGGGGUCAACCUUGGGACUGCAGUUGAAACUGUAGUUCUUGAGUACUGGAGAGGCAGGCGGAAUUCCUAGGGGAGCGGUGAAAUGCGUAGAUAUUAGGAGGAACACC
rnacentral:rRNA from 1 species